GGGCUGUCAAGCCUCCCUUGCAGUCAUACAAGGAAAGACGAUGACUUUUGGAGUUCAGGGUUUGCAUUCUCUGUGUUUCUUCCUGUUCCCUGCCAUCCAGGGAGAAGAGUAAGAGAAAGUGUUGGAGGGUUUGGCAGGGCAGUGCAACUUGCUGCACUCCUGUGCCUGCUGUGCUCCUUUGCUUCCUGUGCCAGCUGCGAACACUCAGUGAAGAAUGCCGAAUCGCCAAGGGAAAAAUGAAAGCCCAUUAGCGUGGUGAGCCGGGGGAUUCACUGCUGAGAGCCUGCAGAGCACUUAUCUGAUGGAGCGAGACCAUUAAGUGCCGGGAGGUGCAGCACCCCCCGGGUGCGGACAGCGCGGGGGUGCCCGCUGGGCUGACGUGCUGGCACAGCCCCGUCCUGGGACAGGGACAGGGGCAGGGACAGGAGCCUGGGCGGCGGCAGGGCGCCGUCUCCCCUCCAAAUCCCGGCUCUGCAGUGAGCGGCGGCUCCGCCGACCCGGCCGGCCCCGGGGGGUCCCGGCAGAGCUGGGGCCGGGGGCGCUGCCCGCCGGUUCCCGGCGCUGUGUCCCCUCCUCCAUCACCCCCUGUCGCUGCCCCUCGGCCCGCAGGGUCAGGCCGGGCCGCGCUGCCCGUCCGAGUCCCGUGACGGGAGCGGGCGGCCGGCAGCGGGCAAGGGAGCCGGCGGUGCCCGGGACCCCCGGUGCGGGCUGCCCCCGGCGGGCUCCCAUUGGCCGCGGGGCGGGACGUGCCGCCCGCUCCGGCCCUAUAUCAGGGCAAUAUUGCCCCGGCGGGGCGCGGGGCAGGUGUCGGAGCGGCGCUGCCCGCGCAGGCAUGGACCUGGGGUACAUCUCCAUCGGGCUGUGCCGCGGGGUCCCGGUGCCCCCCUGCCCGCGACGGGGACCCGGAUCCUUCCCCCCGCCGGACAUCGCGGCCCCCCCCCCGCCGCCUGCCUGCGCGGGGUGCGCGGCGGUCCCGUGCCCCGGCUACGAGCGGCCCCGCGGAGCUGGGACACCGGGAGAGCGCUGCAGGGACCCACCGCGCCCCGACGACUCCGGGACCCGCCGCCCGACCCCUCCGGAGUUCGGCCGCCCCCGGCCCCGUCCCGGCUCCCCGACCCCCGGGGCGGCCCCGGCGGCGCCCCGCACCUUCGAGUGGAUGCGAGUGAAGCGGAGCCCGUCCGGGAGAAAAGCGCAAAAUUCACCAGGGAUCCCCGCUUCCCCGGAUUUCACCUCUCCCAGAGGUAAAGCAGAGGUAUCCGAGAGGACAGAGCAGCCGACCCCAAACAUUUCUCCAGCACCUGGACGGUGGCUGGGCAAGCAUCGUGGCGGCGCAGAGGGACCUCUGGAGCCUCUGGAUCCACGGGACAAAACAAUUUUAGACGACUCUCCCUCUGCUUUGGACUUCAUCUGGCUGUGGGACUUCGGGGUGAAGAACAAGUCGUGGGGAGAGGGAUCCUGGGGGUCCAGAGCGCGGGGUCCCCAGCUGGGAGCCAGCCCCAGCCUCCCACAGCUGCGGGGCCUCGUGUUGUGCUUACACACCGUGUCCCCACUGUACUUGGAAAGUACAAUAAAGCUGGCAGCUGUGCAUGCAUGCAGGGACUUUUUGGUUUUGUACACAGGGUCACGGAUCCUUCCAAGUAGUUGAUGCACUUCACAGGUUACCAAGGAAAAAUUCCCAAGGCAGAGCUGCUUGUAUGAAACCCGCAGCAACCGAAAGAAAUGGGAUGCAGUUCCUUAUUGCAGCAGUGACACCAAACGACCUUUUAUACGGCAGGAUGAUCAUUCAUUUAAAAAAAAAAUAGGAACUAAUAUUUCUGCCAGCUUUUUUUUUUUUUUUGAUAAGAUACUACUUGAAGCAAAACAGAGUAAGAUGUAGUAAAAUUCAUGGAAAUUCAUGUCAAUAACUUUUUUUUUUUUUUUUCAAUCUGAUCAUUAAAAGCAAGUCAACUCCAAGCCAACUAUUUUCAGCUGCUUUUAAGGAACAUUUUACACCAAGUCUACUGCUAGUAGUCUGUUUCUAAACAAAAAAUGCUCCUAUAUAUGCAGCCAGAAUAAGCUUAUAUGCUUAUAAGCUGUCUUCUCAGAGCGCAUGGUUCACAUGCAAACUUCAGAAGACAGCUGUGUUUUCAGUUGCCUCCAAAUUCGUCACAUGUCCAUGGGGCUGCUGGUUUGUCAGCCUUUUAUUUUCUUAAUGGUUUUGACAUUUGUGCUAGUCAACUUCAGGCCAGAGGAAAGUUUUCCACACUGGUGGCAUGCUCCUGCACUACCAAACUGGAAAGAAAGAUUCUCAUUGAUUUCAGUGGUUCUUGACCAGGCCGUUAGACCACACUAAGUCUUUUACAAAGAAUGUUUUCAGGCCAUAUAUUUUCCCGACUAAAGAAAUACACGUGCCAGCAUCGUAGCAGUGCACAGUUCUGUAUCAGUCAAAAUGACACAGCCUGAAUAUCUAGAGAUUUACUUGCAAAUUAAGAUGAAACCUUACAACUCUUUUAUGGCUGUCUGAAUAAAUUUGCUGGUAUGAACACAAACAUAUUCUGUUUAAAAAACUGGUACUUAGUAUUAAGUGUAAUUUCUGCUCACACAACAGGGACAGUUUAAUGGCAUCUCUCUUCCUCACAACCAGUUUUUACUGUGUAAGAUAUUACUCCUUUGCACUGUUCUGUCAGCAAGAUACCCAGAGGAAGGAGAUAAUGCAAGUCAUGUGCCAAUUCCUGAAUAAUUAAAUAAAAAUGCCUCCGAUAUACAUGGGUGCACACAUGAGACAAAUAAAUGAUAGAUAAGGUCUAAGAUUCACUCAUUUAAUAUCCCAAGAGUUGUCUCUCACACAUGUUCAGUUUGAUGCCUAACAGUUGGAAGCAGGUUUUAGGUUAUGCAUAUAGAGGUAAGAGCAUGGGCUGUAAUUCUCACCAGAGUCAGAACAAAAUCCUCCAGACUUGCCUCAGUAAAUACCCAGCACCAUAUAAUUUAUCACAAACUAUGAAAAUAUUAUUUUCUGGACUUAUUUUCCUCCAAACAUCAUUAGAAACCACAAAAAGACCAUUCUAUUUCAGUCUUAUAUUAAUUUUUGCCUACUGACUAUUGCUCAAAGAGCCACAGGCUACCAAGGGGAUAUGAACAAUAUAAUUUUGUUUAUGUGUUCCCAUUUUGCUUGAAACAGAAUAAAAAGGAAGAACAAAAAUAUAUGGAAGGCUUCCAAGGAGAAAGAAAAUAAAAAAGUUGUUAAGUUACUGUUCAUAGGCAGUAUAUGUGAGCGUAUAGAUUUGAUAUCCUUUGGCCGGGUAAGUGAUAACAGAACAUCACACAUCUUUGAAAGCUGAGCUCAGGCAAGAAGCCAGGCUGGCUUUGGUAUCUGGCUGCCCAAGAAGAACAGAAAAAGUAUGUGGUCAUGUGCCAACACAGCACAGGGAACGCUUUGCUGAGGGUCAGACCAACUACUCUGGUUUAUGGUAUCAGCUGCAUAUACAAGUUUAUUUUGAGCAUCAAAGAACACAACAGUAAGCCAGAAAACAAAAAAAUAUGCAACCCAAUCACCACAUUUUAAUCUUCUUUUAAAAGUGUGCCAUUUCCUCUGUUGGUAAAACCUGGAACAGUGGCUUACACAUAAAACAGUACAGAUUAUUAACAGAGUAAAAUAGACUAUUACCUCUUUUAAGAAAAAUAUUUGCAGGCAAAGUUACAAAAUGGAAAGACCUCCUUGUAGUUUCAGCUAUUUGUCUUUAACAGCUAAUAAAUCAUACUUAUGAUAUGUCCUGUACUGCUCCGUUAGCCUAAAUUCCAGUAAAUCCUGAGAACGGUUGCA
rnacentral:lncRNA from 1 species